rnacentral:tRNA from 1 species
UGGCUGAGUGGUAAAGCACUUGGCUUCUGAACUGGGGGUCCCGGGUUCGAAUCCUGG